CUCUCAGGAGGGUGCAAUUGGACAGGGUUUCUGCGUAUUAUCUGCUUGUCUCGGAGCUUCUGGGGCUACCGCUCUGUGCGCUGCAUGAGCUAAGCCCACCUUGCGGUUGCAUCAUCAGGUUCCACUUGCGCCAGGAGCCCCACAAGAGCUCGCUCAGGGUCCACCAGCUGGAAUCUGAGCGAGAGCAGACUAAAAAUACCCAGCUCUGCGGACUCACGCCCGGCUCCUGGGGGGCUUCCAGACUGACAGCUCCGUUUACACACCCACAAUGGGUUAAAACAAAAAAGAAAAAAAGAAAAAAAAACCCAAUCCGCACGUUUUCUUCGCGUUGAUUGAUUUGAGCUCAGCUCUAGAGAGUUUUGCUGGCCAUUUUCAGAAUGUUGAAACUCCCCAGAACUGUUUUAGGAAAAGUAAAAGGCGGCAAAGCGGAGAGAGCAGGCUGGCUUUGUCAGGGUCUGGGGUUCUCCGGCCACGGUCACUGCGAAAGCUGCGCCCAGUCUCGGAGCGGUCGGACCCUCACGGGACCGCACGCGGGUCCCUCUCCCACUCCAGCUCAGAGGCUGCCUCCCUCCGCCCAUCCCCAGAAGGCACGGGACUUUACAGUUCACACAUUUAACGGAGAAAACCCCGGUCCGGAGCCCGGAGCCCGGAGCCCGUGAAAUGGAGCGCACAGCUCUGGGUGCGCAGCUCUCACAGUCCGGAUGUGUGCAAACUGCUCCCCUGGGCGGUAUUCAGGCCGAUGCUUUGCGGGGAAGUACCUCCUCCUAGAGAGUGUCCUCUCCUCCCAGGCCUCAUGGGGAAAACUUACAAAGACAGAAAACCACAGGGUUCCUGGCACAUGGGCUUUGGGUUUAUCAGCUUAGAGCAGAUUCUUCCUGGCCUGAGCCUGGGCCCUUCCUCUGACUGCAAAGGCAGAGAGACACAAGCAGACAGAAACGCACUCGCUCAGCAGCUGACUCACGCCCAGAGUUGUAUUCAACCCUCAAAAAAUUGUCUACAAGAGAUUGCUGAGGGUCGUGGUGCCUUCUGUCUUGCUCUCUUUCUUUUUAUCCGGCGCCGUGUCACCUUUCAAGACACCUGAAAUCAACCGAGAAGCAGACCAAAAGAGGGCUGGUGGGUUUUGAACACACGAUACUAAUUCACACUCUGGUGCCUCAAACAAACAAACAAACAAACCAACAAAAAACCCAAAAAGCAGCAAGAGUGUUUCUAAGGUAGAUCCACCCCAGUUCACUUGAAGGGGAAACCUCACUACUGCGGAAGGUGACCUUGUGGGACAUUGGAAAGCUGGCUUUACAGGGGCCCUGAGCAAAGCAAACUGGGCAGGGAAGAAAUGAAGCUGUGAUUCCUUCAACGGGGUUUGGCAAGAUUUGGUUAAUGACAGCCCCAUCAUUUCUACAAACCCAUUAGCAGUGUGUGAGAGUUCCGGUUCCUCCACAUUCUCAUAACGCCUAUUAUGGUGGGCCCCCAGUGGUUGGAAGGGGAGCAUUCGUGCUGUCCGCCCUGCAUAAAAGCUCAGACAUUUGGGCUGUAAGGGAAAGAACUCAACUUAACGGAGUUGAGAAAGAAAUCCACUGGUCAGUGCCUGCAAAGUCCAGGACUGGCUUGACUCUAUGACAUCAGCAGGACUGGAUCUCAAUCGCCCCAUCGCUCUUGAGGGGGGGGGCUCUCCACUAGAGAUGGCUGUGAGCUGGCUGCCGGCAGCUUAGCUCAAAGACUGUCUUCUGAGCAGCCCGGGUGACAGGCAUGGGAAUGGCAUGACGGGACCAUCCGCCCAUCCUGGACAUUGGAACUGGGGCAUGGGAUGUGCUAGUUAGUGGUCCUGGGUCACUCGCCCACCUCCGGACCAGGCAGCCCACCAAAACGGCGUGAGCUGGUCCUGGAAGGAUGCCGGUGCCAGAGAAGGAGGAUCAGAUCCUGAAAGGUGGUCACAGCAGGUGCACCCCACGCCCCACGCCCUGCUCUUUCCUUGACCUUCUACACUUUGGUUCUUCUUUCCCGGAAGUGUAACAUGCAGCUGUUCCCUUGCCUAACUUGCCACCCUGGUCAAAUGACUUCACCUCUCCAUGCCUCAAACGAAGAUGUUGAAAGGACCUUUUGCAUGGGGGUUGUUGUGAGAAUUCACUAAAAUAACAGACCUCAAGCAUCUGGCACCUGGUGCCUAGCAACUCACUGCUCAUUUGCUCAACGAGGUUAAAAGGUUCUGAUCGCUUUGUCCCAGGACAGAAAGACCCCUCCCUCUGCAGCUCCAGGGGCAACUCAGUGCGUUAAAAAAAAAAAAAAAAAAAGGAGGGGAGGCAACUGGCAGGUGAAAGGCAGACAGGAAGAGCAAAUAAGAAGUCAAAUUACUUCUUCGUAAGACACCUUGAUGCCCUAAGGACAGCCUGUUACAAGCGGCCAUCACUCUGGGAAAAGAAAUUGGGGUCUCAGAAACCAGACCCUUUGAAGAGUAAAGCCUCUCACUUUGGCCAGCCUCUGUGACAAUUCUGAUUGAACAUUGCCCAGAAAUAAGUUUUGAUGGCACGUGCUUCUCAUGCGGAUGCUCCCAUGUUCGCAGUUUUUUUCUGAAUGAUCUUUACCAAUAAACCUCUCUCGUGUCCUCACCCUAUCUCUGUUCUAUUUACAGAGCAAGAGAACCCCAAUUUUAUCUAGGGAGGUAAUGUGCCUGACUAAAAGACUACAUUUUCCGGGCUCCUUUGCAGUUCACUGUGGCCAUGUAACUAAUUUCUAACCAAUGGGAUACAAGCAGAAGUAUGGAAUUUAUAGGAAGGUAAGUUAAAAGGAACUGAUUCAAUUGCGGAGAUAUUCUCUUCCUCCUUCAUCGGGCCAUAGAUGGGAAAGCAGGAACUCUUGCAGCCUCCUUGUGACACUGAGAGCAAAAGCCAGAGCUAGGGUUGUGGAACAGAAAGGCAAGAAGAAGAAAGUUCUGGUUUCGUGUGCUUUUUCAACAAGAGAGUACGGGUAGGAGAAGCCGUUUCCAGACUCAUCACAAAACCAGCACCACAGGCAGCAUGGAACGUCCACGGAGCCCUUGCAACGUGCUGAGCGCCAUCCCAGGAACCUGACGCCCGCGAUCGCAUCCGAUCCCUGCCACGACGCCUGUGUAGACAUGAGAAAACCAAGGCCUCGACCGGCUGGCAUCCCAGCCUUUCCAGUUGGUCUCCUUUCCUUCCCAGUUGCUGGGGUAGCUCCGAGUGGGCAGGAGACACCCCAGCUGUCCUCUGGCAGUGUGCCAAGUCACCUCAUCCUGCGCUUUUCUAAGAUGGGAGGGUCAGCCUGCAAAACGAUGAAAAUGGGGCCCGCCACUCUUAGAAGGUCUGCCUCAUUCCCUGACACCUAGGGAGUCACCCCAGCCUGCUCCGGCCCAGCUCUGGGUCAGCACAUUCAGCAAAUCAAGUGCAGCCGAGGCCCGGCCUUCUAGCUCCAGCCUCCCCGCCUCGUCACACGCACCACCCCUCCCAGCGGAGCCUGCGCUGGUUCAUUUCCACGUCCGCCGGGUGGGCCGGAGGGUUUUCAUGAGAUGUCCGGUUGCUGCAGACUCAGUGCCUGACAGGGCGGACACUCAGUAAACUGCAGAUGCCCCGCAAUGUUUUUCUGUUACUGAUUCAUUUUUUAGUCUAGCUGACGCCCCUCUGUGGGCACCGUAUUUCACACCCGCUGUGCCCCAAUCCGACAUGACAAGCUCCCUCCUUGGGAGUACAGAAACAACGAGAGGAGGUUCAUGGCCUGCACGCUACCACAGGGCAAACACAGGUACAGGUCCCCUGUGGAGUGUUAGUAGCCUGGAGCCAUCAGGCCUCCCAGGAGCCUGUUUGUCAGGAUAGGAACCUUCCAGGCUCAUUUCAGCAGUGUGUGGACAGAGCCCCACCGGAUAGAUGACCCUGAAAACUGGUAGGGAGAGAAGAGUCAGCUGGUUCUCACCUCAGAAACGAGAAGACUUUUCUCCCCACGUGAGAACAGGUGGAUGGAGAUGGGACUUCGCAUCAUCCGUCUUCAGCGAAGUCACUUACACCGUGACCUUGGGCAAGUGGCUCAGCUUCUCUGAAGCUCAGUCUCCUCUCCUGCAGAAGGAGAGUGGUGGUCUGACUUGCCUCUAGGUCCUCGAGGCCGCAGCCUGCCCUGUGCAACCAGCUAGGGGAGUUUUUGUCAGCCAGACUCCAUUCCAGGUCUAUUACAUGAGAAUCUGUGGGGUGUCCUUCGGGGACAGGCCCUGGGGGCCCAGAUGGCUCUGGCGCCUCCGUCAGGAGGUGUGGGCCUCCAGGACAGUGUGGACAGUCCCUGGGGACAUCUGAAGGCCUCUCAAGAGAGGGUGACAACAGACUCAAAAGGGAGAAUUCCUGCCAGUCAUAAAUUAUCCUCUCCGACGCCGAUGAUUUUUCUGUUGUUAGAGAUGAUUAUUACAGGCGUGAACAAUGGCCCCGCUGUUCUUUGUCUGCUGGCUGAGAAGCAGGACAUCUAGCUAGCUCCCGAGUCACCUCCCAGCAGUAGGCAUGGAAAAUAUCGACUUCCUUCUUAUUUCUUGAUCCUCGUUGCUUUUCUUCCUUCGUUUCUUAUCACCUCUUAGGCGCUUUCAUGUUCUUGAUCUUCUCUUCAUUCUUCACGCGAUAAUGCUUAUUUAAUUUUGAAUGUUCUCUUCCGGUCAAAAGUUGGCUUGCUGGGUCCAGACCAAAUGGAAACAAACAUGACGAAAUUUGUGCUACGCUGAAGGGCGCCUGGGCGGCUCGGUCGGUUAAACGUCCGACUCCAACUCAGGUCAUGAUCUCACGGUUCGUGGGUUCGAGCCCUGUGUCGGGCUCUGGGCUGA